rnacentral:rRNA from 1 species
GAUGAACGCUGGCGGCGUGCUUAACACAUGCAAGUCGAACGGUGAACGAGGGAGCUUGCUCCCUCCGGAUCAGUGGCGAACGGGUGGGUAACACGUGAGCAAUCUGCCCUGGACUCUGGGAUAAGCGUUGGAAACGACGUCUAAUACCGGAUACGAGACGCGAAGGCAUCUUCAGCGUCUGGAAAGAACUUCGGUCCAGGAUGAGCUCGCGGCCUAUCAGGUAGUUGGUGAGGUAACGGCUCACCAAGCCUACGACGGGUAGCCGGCCUGAGAGGGUAACCGGCCACACUGGGACUGAGACACGGCCCAGACUCCUACGGGAGGCAGCAGUGGGGAAUAUUGCACAAUGGGCGCAAGCCUGAUGCAGCAACGCCGCGUGAGGGACGACGGCCUUCGGGUUGUAAACCUCUUUUAGCAGGGAAGAAGCGAAAGUGACGGUACCUGCAGAAAAAGCACCGGCUAACUACGUGCCAGCAGCCGCAGUAAUAC